rnacentral:rRNA from 1 species
CGGCAACAGCUCAAAUUUGAAAUCUGGCCCUCUCAGGGUCCGAGUUGUAAUUUGCAGAGGAUGCUUCGGGAGCGGUCCCCAUCUAAGUGCCCUGGAACGGGCCGUCAUAGAGGGUGAGAAUCCCGUAUGGGAUGGGGUGCCCGCGCCCGUGUGAAGCUCCUUCGAC